ensembl:lncRNA
AUGUGUUCGACUCGCAGCAGAAACUGCUCAACAGGAGUAAACGACACCACCACGGACUCCAGGGACCAGUCCACGGACUCCAGGGACCAGUCCACGGACUCCAGGGACCAGUCCACGGACUCCAGGGACCAGUCCACGGACUCCAGGGACCAGUCCACGGACUCCAGGGACCAGUCCACGGACUCCAGGGACCAGUCCACGGACCGGUUUCAGCCCCAGCCUGUGGAAACUGGACUGAAUCUCCGCUCCCGGGACUCCUCUUCAGUCAGAUUCAGCUUAUUCAACAUGGACAACAUCAAUGACUGCUACGUCUGGCAAUGCCGCAUCCGCCAUGGGAUUAGGUAUCAGAAAGUUGCGCUCCCUUUCCCAGAGUCGGUCAAAAUCGGUUUGGAGUUCAACACAGCAUUGGAAAGAAAGGAAAAGUUAGAUCAGUGUCUGUUAACGAAUGCUGUGAUGCUAGAGAUUUGUGACUUUGCUAAAACAGUGACAAAGUCUGAGAAAUAUUUCUUAUUUGAAAUGUUAGAGUUCAACUUUGACCUCGGUGUGGACGUGAACAAUGACAUGCAGUGUUACGAGUACGCCACACGUGUUCAGAGUAAGAUUAAGCAGCUUAAGGAACAAAUGAAGCAGAGACCACGUAAAUGGGCAGAAACAUUUCCACUACCAGACCCAAACCUUAUAAAGGAAUUCACAAUGUCCGAAGUGCAGGGACGGUAUUACCCCAAAAGGAACAGAAUCGCGGAUAUUUCAGUUCUCACUGAUGGAAGUAAGAACGGACAGUGUCCAGAAAACCAGAACAGCACGUUCGUUAUAAAGAGAAAAGGCAGGUUCAGGUUAAAGCUAGCAGAGGAUGUUUACCCUUUCUGUCGGAAACUCGGUGUGACUCUGACUGUUCGACCAGAUGAAGAACCCAAACAGAAACUAGACCCAAAUCUGGUUACCAUCGGUGUGAUGAUGGAGCUGCUCGACUUUUCUAGAGCCCUUUGUGGAUCCUACACGCAAAUCAUUAAUGACUUGGUCAAACAUAACUUUGGUCAGGAGCUGGACAGAUUACAGUUUCGCAUGCAGUUAAACAAGCUGAUGGAGAGGAAGUACGCCUGCCUGACGGCCGAGGACAGGGACGCCUUCCGGAGGCAGACAUUUACAGUCCAGAAGAAGAAACGCGAACAGAGACAUAAAAAAAGGAAAAACCCUGACACAGAUUUCCAAGAACUAGAAAAACUAACGGUGGUCAGUAAGAGACGGGAAACACUGAGGCACAGGGACAGGGACCUGUCGUACAUGUGUCCAGUUGAUUCUGAGACAGAUACGCAGUCAGGUCCGGAAGUCGGGCCAGAAAAAAAAAAUCACGUUGAAAGUCAGUCGACAGCUGUUGAUACAAAGCUGGCUGUGUCACUGGAUGUGAAGCAGGAAGAGGAGGAAGUUUUCAUCUGCGCAGUGCAGCCUCAGAUGGACGACAACAACUCUUGUUGGUUAAACUUCCACCCAAACAACAGGACUGUUAAAACUGACGCCGAUCUGUUUUCUGAAGGCAAGGACAUCAACACAAAAACACCAAAGCAGAAGGUGUGGAUGAGGCGCGCCGCUCGCUCCAAACAAAUCCUGAAGUCGAGCAGAGUGAACGACAUGUUCGCCCGCAGCCGAGAGAUCCGUUUGGACUUUAAUGUCGGUUCAGGCAGCAAACAGAACCUGGAUCUACAACUGCUCACCAACUGGGUGUUGUGGGAGGUUUUUAAAUUUGCAACUGCGAUGACAAAGAGCGUACGCAGUUUCUUACUCGAUGUCUUGGACAAUAACUUCAAUCUAGCUUUCCGAGAAACCCUGCAACUGCGCAAUUUUACUUUUUAUGUCAUGACAAAAGAAAAGGUUCUUCAGAGCCACCCUGCUAGACAGAAAACAGAGUUUCUCAGCAGCCCCUUUCAGUUCCCUGAAGUUUACAACAUGGUUAAUGUGACGAGCGGCUUUCAAAGUGAGCAGGAACUCGAGGCAGAGCAGCAGGCAGACUGGGAUUUGUCAGGUUCAGCUACAAACCAGCAGGCAGAUGUGGCGCUUUACCCGUUCUGUGCAAAGUUGGGUCUUAACCUUUGGUCGACACAGGAACGUCCACCGAGCCAGAAGCUUGAUUUGACUGUGCUGACCACGGGCGCUGUACUCGAAAUAUUCAGUUUCAUCAGAGGGCUGUGUGGUUCGGUCCGCGAGACAGUCGCUGACGUUCUCGAGCACAACUUUGAUCUCGAUCUGCAAAGUGGUGCGACCGAGGCCGCGCAGGUGAUUCAGAGAUGGUUCGUGACACAGAAAAGCUUAAUGAAAAAUCAGAACAUGUCACCAAAGAUAAGCAGGUGGUUGAACACAGUUGUCCCACUGAGUCCUCAGCCAAGCAGCAAUGGUCUAAAGCGUCUGGAUGCAGGCGACUUCAAUUUUAAAAGUCUCACAAAGGCCAGCAGCUACCACAUCUGUCAGAAAAUAGGGUUGGACCUUGAUGUCAGUUCAAAAUCGGAAAACAAAACAAAACUCGACCUGCAAGUGCUGACGAGGGGAGUCCUCUUUGAGGUGCAUGAGUACGUAGAACAAAACUGUAAUCAGUAUGUUCCUGCUCUCUACGAGAUUCUGGACUACAACUUUGAUCUGAGCUCCCAGAGCCAUCGGAAGGUGGAGUUUGCCUGGUCCAUCGCGUCCCAGGUUAUAGCCAUGGUGGGUAAAAAUGGCCGAAAGGUAGGUUAUCUGAACACGGUGUUUGAGUUGCCCAUGGAGGCGUGUGAGUCCUCUCAGGUCGUCUGCAAAGACGAGCCGGACGACGGCUUCGGUGAGCUGGACCUGAACGACCAUGACCACGACAUCCUGUUCAUUCGAAAACUGAAACCUGUCGACAUUGAAGUAGAGAUAGAAUAGAGUCACAUCUCCCGUUUCCAGCGUAGAAAAUCACUGCUGCAACGUCACAAUCGCUUUUGUUAUUGAUUAUUCUGCAAAUCAGUUCCCAGGGUAGAAAAAUGUCUCAUUUAUGGAUCAAAGAAGUAAAUUUUCCGUCUCUGAAACACAAAAACCUUCAUCAUGUGCAGAUUCACUGCAGAGCUGCUGACUGAGACUGUUUGUAGCUGUAAACUGGGAACUCAGUCCUCACUCGAACAGGUUGGAAAUCAGAGUUCUGAGCAGUCAUACUGUUUAAAAAUGAAUUUUACUGUUUGUGACAGUAACAUGUGACAUCAUAUGUGAGAAGCUGGAGCCUGCUGACUCUGGACAUUUCUUAUUUAUUGAUAAUCCGAUAUUUACAAUAGCAGUUUAUCAGGAGGCUCAGAUCUGUCACUUGUCACUGUCUUCAUGACAACUGAACAUUAAAGCGGCUUCUCUUCACUUGAAACACACUACUGUAAAUGUUUUUACUCCUCAGACGUGGAGUUUUAGUUUUUGAUGUUCUCAGGACUCUGCGAAUUAAAACAUCUUUGAUACUUCA